rnacentral:lncRNA from 1 species
CUAUAUUUGCUUAUAUGAGAAGCUUGUAUUUGAUUUAAACUCUUGUUCUAAUAUCUUGUAACUUGAUUCAAUCAAGGGAUUGAAUCAAGGGGUUAAGGUUGUGGUUGGUGAGCCUUUGGAAAAACCAACUGGGUUGAUUGUGAACCCGGAAAACAAUCGUUGUAAGGUUCUGGUUGGUGAGCCUUUGGGAAAACCAACUGGGUUGGAUUGUGAGCCCGUG